UCCUACGGGAGGCAGCAGUAGGGAAUCUUCUGCAAUGGACGAAAGUCUGACGGAGCAACGCCGCGUGAGUGAUGAAGGCUUUCGGGUCGUAAAACUCUGUUGUUAGGGAAGAACAAGUGCUAGUUGAAUAAGCUGGCACUUUGACGGUACCUAACCAGAAAGCCACGGCUAACUACGUGCCAGCAGCCGCGG
rnacentral:rRNA from 1 species